GAUAAUCCAUCUAUUGUCUAGUUUACUAUUGAUCUUCCUGAAUAUGAUACUGCUUGCUGUAUAACAUCUUCUUCCAUUUGUAUAUCAACAGGUGUAGGUCUCUUAUGAUAUGGUAAAGCUGUUAUUGGUUUCCAAUUCUUUCCAUAGGCUAUUCUAUUGAGAUCUAUGGGAGUGGUAUCCAUAAAUGCAAUUUCUUGAUUUUGGAUAGUAUCUUCUAUGAUUGGUUCUUCCUGGAGCAUCAUUGUUUCAUGCUCAGGUAACUUUGCUUUUCCUUUAUCAGAAGAUUCAGGUGUUGAACUAGUAAUGGAUGGAGGAAUAUUUAUCUUUGGAGAAGGUAUUCCUUUGAUUUCUAAUUGGGAUAAUUUUGCUAUUAAUUGAUCCAUUAAGGACUUAUUAUUAUCACCAAUAUGAAAUUUAUUCCUAUUUAAUUCUGGAGGUGGUUUGAACAGAACUGCUUUAGGUAUAGGUGUAGCAGAAGGUUGUUCCUUUGAAACAAGUCUUUCUAUUCGUUCUGCUUGUUUACCUAAAGAUUGCAUAUACAAAUUUGUAUAAUUAUUCUGUUCUACAAUAUGAGGAAUCAAUUCCUGUUUCUUACCAAGUUCUUUUGGUAAGACUUUAUCAGGAGUGGCGAUUAUAUCAUAUAUUGAUUGUGGAUGUGGUGGUUCAUCCUUAGAUGGGAUGACUGCUUUGAGUAUUAUACUUUUUUCAGGAUGGUGUGUACUAGCGGUGGUAGUACCAUCCGUACUGAUAUAAGUUUUUUCUUCUAUUGUUUGAAUAUUAUCAAAUGAAGGAAUAAUAAUAUUAUAUUGGAUACAUAUUUCUCUUAACCAGAGGAAAAAUCCUUUGGUUAAUCUUUCUUUUUGGAGAAACUUAUUAUAUUUUUUAUGCAUUAGUUCUAUUAAUCGAGGUUGAAAUGUUUUCAAAUACCAUUCUCGAAUUUGUUUAUUUUCAUCAGAUAAAUAAUCUUGUCUGAUAUAUUUUUUAUCAACUUUCCUCCUUUUUCUUUCUAAUUUGGCUGCUAAAUAGGCUGCCAUAUAUUCAUCAGAAUAUUGAUCAUAUGGAUUCAUUUCUUCUUCUAUAUCAUCUUCAAUUUGUAAUGUGAAUAUUUGAAAUUCUUCUAAACUAGGUUCAGGAGUAUAUGCGAUAUUUGAUUCAAAGGUAUAUGUCGGAAUAACAACAUGAUCAGUUGUUCUUGUUGUUCCGUGUAAUUUUAAAUCUGAACUAGGUAUUGAUUGUGAAGAAGAUUGGGAAGGAGAAGGUAAUAUGAUAACAUCAGGGGUAGUAGAAUAAGAUUUUCUACUAGGUAUUAAUGGUAUUUUAUUCUUUAUAUUCUUUUUUCUAUUAAUAUUAAUGUCAUCUUGUACUUGUGAUUGUUGGAAUUUUAUUUCAAUAUUACCAUCUGGAUGUUCUAUUAUUUGAUUUGGAAUACUAUUUCUUGGAAUUUCUUGGGACUGAUUUGCAUGUUGUAGUGCCCAUGACUGUGGUAGAACAAUGUCUGACCACUUAAUGGUUUUGGGUACUAUUGUAUGAGAUUUUUCCAUAUUUGUUUGAAAUAGUAUUGUUUGGUCUUUUUGACCAAUUCUCAUAAUGUUUGGACAUAAGGUAUUCAUAACUUUAUAAUAUAUUCUAUAUACUAUGGCUAAAUUUUGAGAACCAUGGAUCAUAUUAAAACCAUGAGUUUUUAAAUUUAUUGUUAGUAUAUCUAGAAUAUUAGGAUCAGUUAAAGAAACCGAAAAAUUUGGAAAACAGUUAAAAUAUAUUGGACCACUACAGAGGCUUGAUUCAACCAUGCCAAGUAGCGAGUCUGUGAAAAUAUUGUGUCUUGUAUCACUUAGGCAUACAAGCACAGAGGUGUUCAACCUUAGUCGGGUCAAAGGUUUCACUGCUAUUUGUAUUAAACCGAUGUGUAAAUAUUUGUAAUUAUUUUCUUUAUGUUUUUCAAUAACUUUUCUUGAUAGUAGUUGAAAGUCUUCUUGAUUCUGAGUUACAGAUAAACUUUCUUCUACUGUCUUGAUGGCAUAACCCAUCUUGAAUUUAAAUGAUCCCUUAUGAUAGAUGUCAUGUAUAGGUACCUUUGGUAUAUUCCAAUUUGAAAUAUGAUCUUCAAUAUUAUUGAUUAUAAUUUGUUCCUUAUUUUUCACUCUAAGUGUUUGAGAUGAAGUUGUACUAGUACUUGUAAGAUUCCUAAUUAAAUUUGCCAUCUGUAGGUUGCGGAUAAUGACAAUCUGGACGUCCAAGAAUCCAACGUUUUCCCUAAGCGGCUCUUCCUGGCCUUGGCGGUACUUUGCAAUAGAUUUCUUACGUCUCUUGUCUUAACUCUCGGACCAACUUUCUUAGUAGUAAAUUUAAGUAGGUUUCCCUAGUAAUAGUAUAACUUGUGCUCUAACAGGACUAGUGAACUAUUGGG
rnacentral:lncRNA from 1 species